CAUCGGUAAAUCGUAUUAUUUUAUGUAUUAAAUUUAUCUGGAAUAUACUUGUAUAGUUAUUCACACAAAUUUAUUGCAGUAUCAGAAGCAUAAGAAAUGUUCGGAAUACGGCGUACGUUGAGUAUAUAAAAAAAUUUUCUCUUGUUUAUAAGUGCGUCUGCGCAUGCGCGAAAAAUGGAUAAAUAGCGUGAAAUAUUGCUUCCUGUGCUCAUUCUGCUGUGACCUCUAGAGGCGGCCACAUGGUAUCAGAAGUAAACUAGAGAUUCAGAAUACUGUGCAAGUUGAGUUUAUAAAAGAAUUUUCUCUUGUUUAUAAGUGCGUCUGCGCAUGCGCGAAAAAUGGAUAAAUAGCGUGAAAUAUUGCUUCCUGUGCUCAUUCUGCUGUGACCUCUAGAGGCGGCCACAUGGUAUCAGAAGUAAACUAGAGAUUCAGAAUACUGUGCAAGUUGAGUUUAUAAAAGAAUUUUCUCUGGUUUAUAAGUGUCGUCCCCUCAUGCGCAAAAAAUGGAUAAAUAGCGUCAAAUAUUGCCUCCUGUUCUCCUUCUGCUGUGACCUCUAGAGGCGGCCACAUCGUAUCAGAAGCAUAAUAAAUGUUCAGAAUACUGUGCAAGUUGAGUUUAUAAAAAAAUUUUCUCUGGUUUCUAAGUGUCGUCUGCGCAUGCAAGAAGAAAAUGUAUGAAGAGUAUGUAAUAUUGGUUCCUGCGCUCAUUCUGAAUUGACCUGUGGAAGCGGACAAAUCUUAUCAGAAGCAUAAUAAAUGUUCGGAAUACUGCGUACGUUGAGUAUAUAAAAAAAUUUUCUCUUGUUUAUAAGUGCGUCUGCUCAUGCGCGAAAAAUGGAUAAAUAGCGUGAAAUAUUGCUUCCUGUGCUCAUUCUGCUGUGACCUCUAGAGGCGACCACAUCGGUAAAUCGUAUUAUUUUAUGUAUUAAAUUUAUCUGGAAUAUACUUUUAUAGUUAUUCACACAAAUUUAUUACAGUAUCAGAAGCAUAAGAAAUGUUCGGAAUACGGCGUACGUUGAGUAUAUAAAAAAAAUGUUCUCUUGUUUAUAAGUUUCGUCUGUGCAUGCGCCAAAAAAGGGAUAAAUAGCGUCAAAUAUUGCCUCCUGUUCUCCUUCUGCUGUGACCUCUAGAGGCGGCCACAUCGGUAAAUCCUAUUAUUUUGAAUAUUAAGUUUAUAUGGAAUAUACUUUUAUAGUUAUUCACACAAAUGUAAUGCAGGAUCAGAAGCAUAAUAAAUGUUCAGAAUACUGCGUACGUUGGGUAUAUAAAAAAAUUUUCUCUUGUUUAUAAGUGAUUGUGAUUGAUAAAUAGCGUCAAAUAUUGCCUCCUGUGCUCAUUCUGCUGUGACCUCUAGAAGCGGUCACAUAUAAAUCCUAUUAUUUUGAAUAUUAGUGUCGUCCCCUCAUGCGCAAAAAAUGGAUAAAUAGCGUCAAAUAUUGCCUCCUGUGCUCAUUCUGAUGUGACCUCUAGAAGCGGUCACAUAUAAAUCCUGUUAUUUAGAAUAUUAAAUUUAUCUGGAAUAUACUUUUAUAGUUAUUCACACAAAUUUAAUGCAGGAUCAGAAGCAUAAUAAAUGUUCGGAAUACUGCGUACGU